rnacentral:lncRNA from 1 species
CAAGACCUCAAGACAAGUGGUAUAUUUCAAAAGAGGACUGUUUUAGCAUUCUCAAAUGAUUCACGUGAAUAUAAAUAUCAAGAGUUGGUGACACCAUAUGCUUGGGCAUAUAUCCUGAAACAGUUUUCAUUCAGGUCUGAGGUAAAACUGGAGCAGAAAGAGAGUGAUGAUAGAGAAAUUAUAUGGACAGCUACAACAAGCC